AACCUACCUUAUACUGGGGGAUAGCCUUUGGAAACGGAGAUUAAUACCCCAUAAUAUAAUUUUGUGGCAUCACGAGAUUAUUAAAGAUUUAUCGGUAUAAGCUGGGCAUGCGUCCAAUUAGUUAGUUGGUGAGGUAAUGGCUCACCAAGACUUUGAUUGGUAGGGGAACUGAGAGGUUAAUCCCCCACACUGGCACUGAGAUACGGGCCAGACUCCUACGGGAGGCAGCAGUAGGGAAUAUUGGGCAAUGGAGGCAACUCUGACCCAGCCAUGCCGCGUGCAG
rnacentral:rRNA from 1 species